GAAGGUGUUUCCGUCACCUUUCUGCUUUUCUUUCUCCAAUCAAGCUCUGUUCAUCUCGUCUCUGGCCAAGAAGAAGAAUUAAGUUCCUCCACGACCUCCCUGUCUAUUUUUUGUUCCUUCACGACCUCCUUAUGUACGCACUUAGCAACCCGUCGGAGGAGUUCUUGCUAGUUGUCGGAGCCUCCACUGGCAAGAACCUCGGCCUUUUCUGCUUCAACGAAGAUGACGUUCACGCCCUACUUUGCCAGGUUUCCACGAUCGACCCUCGCCUGUGUGAUGGCUCCAAAGUUGUGUUGCACUCAACAAGGAUGCCUAAGCACUUAAGAUCUCCAUUACUUAUGAAGCCAGCCAGUAGAAUUCAUUCGAGAGCUGUAGUUGCGUUUUUCCUUCGGUGCAUGUAAGCGAUUGGAUUUUUCUACCACAGGAAAAAAGUGCAUUCUGUUGAGAGUAAUUUUCAGAAACAAGAAGAGGAAAUGUAGAAUCACUUGUGAAGCUACUGGUUGAUUGCAUCUUGGAAGCCAAAGAAAAUAUUGAUGGAAACUUUGCUGCUUCUCUUCAUAAUGAAAACAUGGAAAGACAUUAUGACAUAUGACAUUUAAGUUCAAAUGGUCGAGAUUUACAAUGAACAAGUUAGAGACCUACUUACUUAGGACAAAACAGAUGAUAAAUUAAAGAUUAGGAGCUGCAAUGAUGAUGAAUUAAGUCUUCCUUAUGCUACAUUGUGUCUGGUGACAUCUACAGCUGACGUUCUGACCCUCAUGAAACUCAGUGAGGUCAACCGUGCUGUCAAUUCCGUUGCACUUAACAAUAGGAAUAGUCGUUCCCACAGUGUACUCACCGUGCAUGUUCACGGAAAAGAUACAUAGAAUUCAUGGAUCCGGGUCGAAUCGCAUAUCUUUGCUAGAAGGGAAGCCAGUACCAUAUAAGAAGGAGAGAGAUGCUAGAACACCUCCUCUGACAGCAGCAAGGACCUCGAAACGGUGGCUGUAGGAAGACUUCAAGAGCCAGAUAUCAAUGCUGGGGUGGUUACUUUGAUUCAAAGCAACCCCAAUAGCUCCAAGCCUCCAAUUUAGUAUUUUUUCUUUGUGGUUUUCUUUUUUUCUUCAGUGUUUCUUAUAGAAUCUUGGUGAUUUGACAAACAGCUUUAUUUAACUGACGAUCUAUGCUAAAAUUUGGUCUAAGGUAGUUUAUUUGUUGUAUUGCCAUUCUUAUACUUUUUGUGCAUCUAUGUGUGAGUUGCUAUGAAACUA